rnacentral:rRNA from 1 species
GGCACGAGUUGUAGAGUGUAGGCGGGAGUCUUUGUGGAGCACGGUGUCCAAGUCCCUUGGAACAGGGCGCCUGAGAGGGUGAGAGCCCCGUGGGGUGUCGUGCGAAGCUUUGAGGCCCUGCUGACGAGUCGAGUUGUUUGGGAAUGCAGCUCCAAGUGGGUGGUAAAUUCCAUCUAAGGCUAAAUACUGGCGAGAGACCGAUAGCGAACAAGUACUGUGAAGGAAAGAUGAAAAGCACUUUGAAAAGAGAGUGAAACAGCACGUGAAAUUGUUGAAAGGGAAGGGUAUUGGGCCCGACAUGGGGAGUGCGCACCGCUGUCUCUUGUAGGCGGCGCUCUGGGCGCUCUCUGGGCCAGCAUCGGUUCUUGCUGCGGGAGAAUGGGUGCCGGAAAGUGGCUCUUCGGAGUGUUAUAGCCGGCGCCAGAUACCGCGUGCGGGGACCGAGGACUGCGGCUUCUGUCUCGGAUGCUG